rnacentral:lncRNA from 1 species
AGAGAAAGGGUGAGAGAUGAAGGAGAGGGGAAGAGAAGAUAUAGUUUGCAGGUUAUGGUAUUCAUGGUUCAUAAACUAAUUUUCACAUAGUUCAGAAAAAUAAAUUGUAACUUUUCUUUAAGUUUGAGGUUCUUUCUAAAUGAAAACAAAAAUUGGGUAGAACCAUCAGCAGCAGUCGUAUUGUACCUUGUGAUAGCUUGUGUGUGACACAUUAACACAUGCCAACAACCUUGGCUGUGCAUAAGCCGUCACCUGUUAUUCUGUUGUGAUGGAGCAGAAGCACUCUCGUGUUAAGGUGGCAUUAUUAGCUAUACAUGCUGUGGGUUCUUAGCUGUGUACAAAAAUUCAUAAACAAACAUGACACACCCCAGUGCCACCCUCCUCUUACUGUGCAAUCAUGAAGGUAAGGGCGCUCUGACUGUCCACAGUGUCCCCAACGAUUUCCCAUCAUUUCUCUCCAGCAUCUCCUGUUAGUGUAGUUCUGCUCCUGUUCCUGCCCAUUGUUCUUCCUUUUUUGCUUCCUCUCAUCCAUCCAACUAACUAUUCUCCUCACUCCGAUGCCAUCUCUGCAUCGCUGGUCCUUUUCCAUAGAGGAUCUGGCUGCUUCAUCUUCCCAAGGACAGGGCUGCUUCUGUUUCCCCUGUCGAAACAUUUUCAGCUGUGUGCGGCGUUUUUCACAGUGUUUUCUUCCCUGGAACCGUGCUGAUUGUUUAUAGGCAGCAUGUUAAUGCCUUUCUGUUUCUGCAACAGACAGAUGCUAUCUGUCCAGCAUGGCCAGCCCACAACCCCAGCUGUCAUAUCAACAGAGAUAGUUCCUCGGGGCUCCAGAGCUUAACUUGAAAGUGUAGUCCAGUUCCUGAAGAAUUAAAAGUAGGCCUGCAUGAUCCAGCAGUUCUCUAUCUGGGUAGACGUCCCGAAGCCUUGAAAGCAGGUUCAAGCCUGUCUGCUCACCUUUGUCCAUAGCAGCGUUUGUCACAACUGACCUCAUGGUAGAAGCAGCCUGCACAUCCAACCCAACAACAGAUAAUACAAUAUAUACGUAAAAUGGAAGGCAGCCUUCAGCAAGGAAAUUCAGACAGGUGUGGGCGAACCUGAAGGUAUUACACUGACCGAGAUAAACCAGCUGUCAAAGGUGGGUAAACGAGAGCUGCCUAGAAUAAUCCAGCUUGUACACACAAGAGAGGUGGAGUGCCAGCCACUGGGUCAGAGGGGAAUCCAGCUUCUCACUUCUAUGAGAGGAGAUGUUUCUAGAGCUGGAUGGGUGGUGGCCAGAUGUCAUUGGGCAUGGAAAGUAGUUAUUCACUGAAGUCAUUUAUUCACUGAAGGCAACAUUUAUUCCAUCUCCUAUGGACACAGUCCUGUUCUAUAUUCGCAAAUGGUGGCUUUACAAAGGCCUCUUUUAUAUUUUAUCCUAUUGGGAAACUAGAGGUUAUUAUGGUGAGUGAGGCUAAAAUGUUAGGAUGUGGUGGUGUCAGGGUAACUCUGAACGAGUUCACCUCCUUCAUUCAAUCCCAUUUCCUCCAGAAAGCAGGUGGUGAGCUUCCUGCUUGCUGGCAUGCCCCUGGGUCAGUCAAAUGCUGCUGUUCUUUGCUUAGAACAGAUUGGUUCCUUCUUGUGGCACAAACCUGCUAAAAAUCAGUUCCUCCCCUGCCUUGAAAUGCCAGGUGACGAUUUGGAUCUUCUCUCUGCAUACUCUCUUUAUCUUCUGUCUAUUUGUUUAAAAAAUCCUGCUAAUGAGAUUCUUUUGUAAUCUGGAUACCCAGAAAGGCCUCUGGAGUAAAGUUUUCCAGCCUUCAGUGUGAAUUUGAACAUUUGCUCUUGUCAUGGGGAUACAGGAACUGCAUGCUGCCCCUCUGUGGUGCAGCCUGGGACUCUGAGUUCUUUCCCUCACUCCACUCAUCUGCUGUGUAGAAUGCAGUUAGAGUCCCUCUCCAGAUGUGUGCGCCAGACGGCCUCAUACCUGGCACAUCCCUUUAGGCUUCUGAUUUGCCCAUCAGCCAGUUAGAUUCUAUCCUUGCUGAGUUGGCCAGGCUUGUUUUGUUAAAUUGCCCUGUUUUUUUUUUUUUUUUUAAACAGGCCCUCGAAUUCAAAAUUAAAUAAAUGUAGUCUAUCAAACCAAUAACUGUUACAUUACAGCCUAGAAAUCAUACAGUACCUGCUGCCACAUAAUAAAAUUAUGC